UCCAUAUCUCUAUCAUUCACAAGUCACAUGAAGCAAAAUUGUCAUUCAUCUUAAACAAUCAAAAUCCUUACAUGCGAAUGCCAUCAAAAGGACUUUUCCAAGGCUUGUAAUGAGGCUGGGUUAACAACAAAAAUUGGUUUUUCUGGAAAGCAACAUCCUUGAAUUAAGAGAGCUACCAUAGUAUUCAAUAUUUAAGAACAACUCUCUUCCUCACCAAUCUCACUUAUUUCCCAACUUCUUCCCUUUUCUUUUUCAUUGAGCUCAUCUUCAUGCUUUUCUUCUUUUCUUUCCUUUUUCUCAUGCAUUUUUUUUCAACAUUUGAGCUCAAUGCUUUUCAAUUUCCCCCAUG
rnacentral:lncRNA from 1 species